rnacentral:rRNA from 1 species
UACGAAGGGUGCAAACGUUGCUCGGAAUUAUUGGGCGUAAAGCGCACGUAGGCGGCUUGGCAAGUCGGAUGUGAAAUCCCUCGGCUCAACCAAGGAAGUGCAUCCGAAACUGCCGAGCUUGAGUACUUAAGAGGAUCGCGGAAUUCCCGGUGUAGAGGUGAAAUUCGUAGAUAUCGGGAGGAACACCAGUGGCGAAGGCGGCGAUCUGGGAAGAUACUGACGCUGAGGUGCGAAAGCUAGGGGAGCAAACAGG